UGUACAGGGCUACACUUACUGGUCUGAACAGUUCACGAGAGACCAGUGUUUGUAAACUUUGACGAUGGGACACCAAACAACACAACACCGGGUGCCUUCAAUACCAUGGCAUGCUCACAAACGAAUAUGGAAUAUCAACUUUGAGGCAGUGAAUAAUCAUUUUGGGGGCAAAGUUAAAUGAUUUUUCUCUUUGAUAUAUUGAUUUUUGAGUAACAUAAAAAUAUAAGCUAGUGUUUUAAUGUUGAUGAUCUAAGUAUGAAAUCUCUUCACUGAAGAUAUUUCAUACCCCAAAGUUUUUUUCACACAACACCGGGCGCCACGUGUAGGGAGGAGACAACGCCUUAGGCAGAAAAAAGUAUCGAUUAUCACUAGUUUGGUUACAAAAGUAACGAUGAUACCGAUAUAUACUUAAAUAAGUAGCGGAUGGCCGAUAACCCAAUUUUGUUAUCAGCGAUAAAGUAUUGCGAUAACUUAUCGCGAUAACGCCCAGCUAUGCCAGGGUCACACACCUACCUCGGGAAAUGCCCACAAAUCCUAAGAAAGCCUAGUCAAAUGUGUGUUUCCUUAGGUUCACGGUACAGAGGAAGGGUCAAACUACUACCAGGGUCACAAAACUACCCCUGGAAAUGCCCCCACAACUCCUAGGAAAGCCUUGGCAAAUGUGUGUUUCCUUAGGUUCAUGGUACAAAGGAAUGGUCAAACUACCACUAGGGUCACAAAACUGCCCCUGGCAAUACCCACAACACCUAGGAAAGCCUGGUCAAAUGUACGUUUCCUUAGGUUCAUGGUACAGAGGAAGGGUCAAACUACUACCAGGGUCACAAAACUACCCCUGGAAAUGCCCCCACAACUCCUAGGAAAGCCUUGGCAAAUGUGUGUUUCCUUAGGUUCAUGGUACAGAGGAAGGGUCACACUACCACCAGGGUCACACAACUAUCCCUGGAGAUGCCCACAACUCCUAGGAAAGCCUUGUCAAAUGUGUGUUUCCUAUGUUCACAGUACAGAGGAAGGGUCACAAAACUACCCCUGGAAAUGCCCACAACUCCUAGGAAACCUUUGUCAAAUGUGUUUCCUUAGGUUCACAGAACAGAGGAAGGGUCACAAAACUACCCCUGGAAAUGCCCACAACUCCUAGGAAAGCCUGGUCAAAUGUGUGUUUCUUUAGGUUCACAGUACAGAGGAAGGGUCACAAAACUACCCCUGGAAAUGCCCACAACUCCUGGGAAAGCCUGGUCAAAUGUGUGUUUCUUUAGGUUCACAGUACAGAGGAAGGGUCACAAAACUACCCCUGGAAAUGCCCACAACUCCUAGGAAAGCCUGGUCAAAUGUGUGUUUCUUUAGGUUCACAGUACAGAGGAAGGGUCACAAAA